UCGUUUUAUUUCUGUAUUGUUGUAAGUAAAAUAUCGCAUUUAUACCAUAAUCGCUUAAUUAUGUUAAUCGACUAACCUUCCCAUCAAAACUGCUCGUCAAAACCACCUUUUUACUACGGAGGAGACGAUUCGCGCCAGUUCGCGCCGGAGACUGCUAGCAAGAUUCCUGAGCAAAUGAACCAAUCAGAAGAUGGACCAUUUUCUAUGUUGACCAUUCAGAAGACUCUCUGCCAUUGCAGUCCCACAUGAUCAGGAAGGUACUAGAGCCCUGCAUGGGCCUCAAAUUUAGGCCCUAGCCCGGCCCUGGCCCGAGAUACUCAGGCCCUAGCCCGGCCCGUGUCCGACAGCUUAUCAGAAUUUCCGACCCGAGCCCGUCUUUUUUUUUUCACUUCUCCCAAAACGGCUCAUGUUUCAGCUAUUAAAAUAGUUCAGUUUUGUAUGUAAUGGCAUUUAUUUAUUUAUUUAUUUUUAUUAAGUUAAUUUUGAAAAACGUUUGGAGCAUUUUUUGUUCGUUAAACAAGUUAUUUCUUUCUUAAAAUAACGACCAAGCAGCCAGCGGCAGACCGGCAGGCUGAUCAUAGCAUGUUUGAUCAAUUUAGCCAUCUCAAAUCAUCACGACUUGCCUAAAAUAAAAUCUAUAGAUAUAAUAAAACAGUUCAAGCAUAUAAAAUGUUUAAACGUUAAACCUAGAUAAAUGUGCGCUGCAUCCAGUAGUUUGUGCGGAGAACGGAAGCUAAAGCGCAGGACAUGGAGGCGCCAGCGCAAUCAAUUGCAUUUUUGUUUUCAAUGGAAACAACUUAAAAUAGGCUGUAAUUUUUGCUCAUAAAGGUAAUACAUCAUUCGGAACUGUAAAGGGUCUACUUCUAUUUGUGUGCACUCACAAUAUCAACAAAACGUUGUGCUUUUAAGAAAACGAUAAGCUUUCUGCCGUCUCGUCUUGAACAGGAGCGCUUCACAAAAAUGAACCGAAAGUCAGCGAAUACAUGCCUCACAGACAUGAUAAAUAUAUAUAUAGAAAGCUUUAAAUUACUACUUAACGAAAUAAAUCUAAUUGAAAAUAAAAACUCAUUCAUUAUUAAUCCGUGAAGAUGCACUUCUCUCUAAAGGCGCGUCUAAUGAGGAGAUGAAUCCACACUGAUGCAACACUGACACUAACACUGACAUUUGAACUCAGAACAGCUGCGCUGACGGCGCGAUCGCUGCUGCAGGACACUAAACACCGUCGAGCCGCUCUUUACAGUUGCGGCACGAUCUCGUGUUGUUUCCACCAGCGCGGCAUUUUUUUUUCAUCACUAAUUGAUAAUAAUAAUAAUUCCUUACAUUUAUAUAGCGCUUUUCUAAGCACUUUGCUUAGACAUUGAUGGAUGUCUAAAAUAUAAAAAUAAGGAGAAAACUAAAACAGGCCCGAGGCCCGGCCCUAGUCUGAACUAUGACGUGAAAAUUGGCCUGAAGCCCGGCCCUAGGGCAGUAAAAAAAGUCGGGGCCCGUCAGGCCCGGGCCGAAAUGCAGGGCUCUAGACGGUACCUAACAUCAGCGCACAGGUGGGUUAACUACUGUAGGAAGGAGAAAGAUCAUCACAUAGUGAUUGCUUGCAUGUGUCUUAGUGUGUUUUUGUCUCAAACAGCUACCCCUUCACUGCAGACAAGCUGAAGGCUAAAUCCUCAAUUGGAGUCUUUCUCUCUAUGGAUCUCAGCAUUUUUGGACAGAAUUUAGAAUAUUGUUGGAACCAGGGAUCUCUACUGAAGGACUGAGUACAUUUGUGUUUGUGGACAUGCAGACAGACCAGGGAACAUUCUGAUGUUGGCAAAGUUCUGAGCAGGAUCCAGUCUUCAGAGAAGUUCAUUUAUUCCCAAAGGUGGACAAAAACAUUGUGUUGGCUUUUAAAAGGCUAUUUUGAUAAUGACUUUUACUCCUAUGCUGUGGAAAAGAUGGAGGAGUACAGACAUUGCUAAUAAGAAAUAUUUUUUGAGCAUCUUUCAAAAUACUUUUGGCCACCAGUGUACAUCAAUCCAGCAAAGUUUGGAAAAAAGUGAAAUGACUAUGAAAGUGGGGUUAUGUGUCAUGUAACCUAAUGAGAUGAAAAUAACUUUCUUGUCCUGUGUUGGACAUUUCCUUUUUGACUGCUUAAAAUUGUAUGUAUAUAUAUAUAUUCUGCAGUUCUAUGUAAUUUUUGAUAUUUCAUCAUAAUAAAUAUUUUGACAACAAGCUAAACAACGUUGUCCCAGAACUCACCCAUGAAUGUGUUAAAAUUGAACACAGGUUGUGUCAUUUUUAACACAUCUUUUCUAAGAGUGUAGGCCUACUUGUUCACAAGGGUAUACACUGAUUAAUUGUAAU